rnacentral:rRNA from 1 species
UACGUAGGGGGCUAGCGUUGUCCGGAAUCAUUGGGCGUAAAGCGCGCGUAGGCGGCCCGGUAAGUCCGUUGUAAAAGUCAAAGGCUCAACCUUUGAAAGCCGAUGGAUACUGCCGGGCUAGAGUCCGGAAGAGGCGAGUAGAAUUCCUGGUGUAGCGGUGGAAUGCGCAGAUAUCAGGAGGAAUACCCAUAGCGAAGGCAGCUCGCUGGGACGGUACUGACGCUAAGGCGCGAAAGCGUGGGGAGCGAACAGG